rnacentral:rRNA from 1 species
GUGAGGAAUAUUGGUCAAUGGACGGAAGUCUGAACCAGCCAUGCCGCGUGCAGGAAUAAGGUCCUAUGGAUUGUAAACUGCUUUUAUUCGGGAAUAAACCUCUUUACGUGUAGGGAGCUGAAGGUACCGAAGGAAUAAGCACCGGCUAACUCCGUGCCAGCAGCCGCGGUAAUACGGAGGGGGCAAGCGUUAUCCGGAAUCAUUGGGUUUAAAGGGUCCGCAGGCGGGCUAUCAAGUCAGAGGUGAAAUCCCACAGCUUAACUGUGGAACUGCCUUUGAAACUGAUGGUCUUGAAUUAAGUGGGCGUUGGCGGAAUAUGACAUGUAGCGGUGAAAUGCAUAGAUAUGUCAUGGAACACCGAAAGCGAAGGCAGCUAACGAUACUUAUAUUGACGCUCAUGGACGAAAGCGUGGGUAGCGAACAGGAUUAGAUACCCGGGUAGUCC